rnacentral:rRNA from 1 species
AUGAACGCUGGCGGCGUGCCUAAUACAUGCAAGUCGAGCGAACGGACGAGAAGCUUGCUUCUCUGAUGUUAGCGGCGGACGGGUGAGUAACACGUGGAUAACCUACCUAUAAGACUGGGAUAACUUCGGGAAACCGGAGCUAAUACCGGAUAAUAUUUUGAACCGCAUGGUUCAAAAGUGAAAGACGGUCUUGCUGUCACUUAUAGAUGGAUCCGCGCUGCAUUAGCUAGUUGGUAAGGUAACGGCUUACCAAGGCAACGAUGCAUAGCCGACCUGAGAGGGUGAUCGGCCACACUGGAACUGAGACACGGUCCAGACUCCUACGGGAGGCAGCAGUAGGGAAUCUUCCGCAAUGGGCGAAAGCCUGGCGGAGCAACGCCGCGUGAGUGAUGAAGGUCUUCGGAUCGUUAAACUCUGUUAUUAGGGAAGAACAUAUGUGUAAGUAACUGUGCACAUCUUGACGGUACCUAAUCAGAAAGCCACGGCUAACUACGUG